AUACGGAGGGGGUUAGCGUUGUUCGGAAUUACUGGGCGUAAAGCGUGCGUAGGCGGACUAUUAAGUCAGAGGUGAAAUCCCGUGGCUCAACCCCGGAACUGCCUUUGAUACUGGUAGUCUUGAGGUCGAGAGAGGUGAGUGGAAUUCCUAGUGUAGAGGUGAAAUUCGUAGAUAUUAGGAGGAACACCAGUGGCGAAGGCGGCUCACUGGCUCGAUUCUGACGCUGAGGUACGAAAGUGUGGGGAGCAAACAGGAUUAGAUACCCUAGUAGUCC
rnacentral:rRNA from 1 species